rnacentral:rRNA from 1 species
GACGAACGCUGGCGGCGUGCUUAACACAUGCAAGUCGAGCGGUAAGGGCCCUUUCGGGGGUACACGAGCGGCGAACGGGUGAGUAACACGUGGGUGACCGUGCCCUUAGCUCUGGGAUAAGCCUGGGGAAACUGGGUCUAAUACCGGAUAUGACUCCAUGACGCAUGUUGUGGGGUGGAAAGCCUUGUGCGGCUAGGGGAUGGGCCCGCGGCCUAUCAGCUUGUUGGUGGGGUGAUGGCCUGCCAAGGCGACGACGGGUAGCCGGCCUGAGA